GGCCACCCUCUGUGGGGCGAUUGAUGGGGGGACUCCACAAUUGAUUGCCCCGCAGAGGGAGACC
rnacentral:pre_miRNA from 1 species